rnacentral:lncRNA from 1 species
CGAGUGGGGUGGCGGGGCCCUAGGGCCCCCGAGAUGAUGAGCUUUUCCAUCCUCUUUCCCUUUCCUCAGUGCCAUCUGUACAAUGGGGAUUAAGACUGUGAGCCUCAUAUGGGACAACCUGAUCACCUCGUAUCCUCCCCAGUGCUUAUAAACAGUGCUUCACACAUAGUAAGCGCUUAACAAAUGCCAACAUUAUUAAGGGGCUGGGAACUGGGGCUUGAACUGUGUAAAAGUGAAAACUUCUAAAAUAAUCUUUCUCUGACCAUCCCUAAGGGCCCCCAGUUUUGCCUAGGGAUCCAGGAUAAAAAGGCUUUGCCUUCCUCCAUGCAUCCCACCAUGGAAUCUAGGUAGGAAAGAGAGGGGAGAAGGAUUGCUUCAAAGGCAGUGCGGCCAUAGUUGGCAGUGAGAAUGCAGGUUGGCACCCUGGCUGAAACUGGAUGGGCGAACUGUGAGACACCCCACCCACCCAGUCCCGUUUACCACCACAUCUGAGAACUCUAAGCUUUGCCCCUCUUCUUUUAUCGUGUUUUUGUGUUUUCAUCUCUUCCGCUGUAUCUGGUGCCAAACCCCUCCCUGCUAGGUUCUUAGUUUGUGAGAACUAAGGGCCAGAGGAUCUGCCUAAUUCUCUUCUGUGUAUUUUUUUCCCCAGCACUUAGUAGAGUGCUUUGCACACAGGUUCUUAAUAAAGUUGAUUAUCCCCUUGCUAAAAAGGGGAUGGGUGUAUGUGAAUAUACAAGCAUUCAUUGGCAAGAGUGUUGGCUGUGAAGGUGGUAGCAGUUUGCAGUUGGUGUUUGCUGCGUGUCCCUACGUAAGCCCGGGCAUCUUUGAGAGACUGAAAGCCGACGGGCAGAUCCGACGCACAAACGGUUUCUCCAAUUACCCAAACCUUCCAGCCCAAACCGGUUCCAGCUGUCAGAAGAACGCUCCUGUAUUCCGUAAUCGCAUUCCGGCUGAAGCACGGGGAAAACACGCGUUGAUGGCAGGAGUGAGUGAGCUACAAUCCAUCACACAAAUGCUCUGAAUUGACUUAAAUUGACCUGGCAGAAAUAGGAAGUAUUUGUCGUUGCCAAAUAGUCCUGUGAGUUUACAGUGUUGGGAAAAACUUUGGGGAAUUUAGUCCUAUUUUAUUUUUAUUUUUUCUGAUUAGGACUAAAUUGGAUAAAGCCCACACAGAUGACUGAAGGAUUAGUCUGUGACAGGGAAGGGGGAGAAGGAGGGAUUUGCCCUUUUUUUUUUUUUUUACAUCAUUUUACUUUUUCUGCUGUGUAAUAAUAUUUAAGUGCCUACCCUGGGCCAAAAACUGUACUAAGCACUGGGGUAGAUACAGAUAUUGAGGUGGACACUGACCUUAUUUCACAAUGGGGCACAAGUUUAAGGGGGAGGGAAAGCAGGUAUUAAAUCCCCAUUUUUCAGUUGAGGAAAUCGAGGCCCAGAGAAGUUAAUUUGCCCAUGGUCACAGCAGGCAAGUAGCAGACCCGUGCUCUUUCCAUAGGCCAUGCUGCUUCUGAGCACUUCUUUCUCGUAUCUCUUUCUGGGGCUAGACCGUAAUCUCCUCGUGGAUGGGUAUAGCAAUUAGAACAGCGGUCUAAAUACAGUUGGCACUCCCGUAAAUACUACUGAUAGGUAUCAAUCAGUGGUCUUUAUUGGACACGUAGCAUGCGGAGCACUGUAUCAUACAAGCACUCGGGAGAGUUCAAUAUGGGAGAGUUUUGGUAGAUAUGAUCCCUGCCCACAAGGAAAUUAUCUAGUGAGGGAGGCGAACAUUCAAAUAAAUUGCAGAUAGGAGAAGGGACAGGGUAUAGGGAUAUUAAUUCAAUUGUAUUAAGUGCUUACUGUGUGCACAGCACUGUACUAAGCGCUUGUGAAAGUACAAUACAAUAAACAGUGACAGGCCCUGCCCAUAGUGAGCUCACAGUCUAGAGGAAUAUGUCCAUAAGUGCUGGGGGGGAGGUGUGUGCUUAAGGGGAACAGAUCUAAGGGCAUAGAUGCCAAAGAGGAGAUGGCGUAUAGGGUAGGAAAGAGAGAGGUUUGUCAGAGAAGGCACCGGAUCCUGCCUGGCCCCACCUGCCCCUUUCCCAGCUGUGAGUGGGUCUAGAUUUUACCCGGUGCCAAUCUCAGCCAGGGAAUGGAUUCCCACUGAGCCCCAGACACUGCACCUGGUUGUCUUGUGUGUUUCUACAUGUAGACCAUAGCCCCCCGUGUGUAAGUUUGCAUGCCAAUUUCCCUGGCUCUGUGUUGGUGGUGGGGGGCCUCCUAGGCCCCCAGAGUGAAGAGGUGGGUAAGUAGGCCUUGUCUUUUUUCCCCAAACUGCCCCGAGUUCACCCCGACACUAGAAAUGAAAAGCUGGCACCCCUGUCAGCCUGUCUUCCUGGCUGGGUUCCUCUAGGGCACAGUCAUCCACAUUUAACAACUCUUGAAGGACUGCUGAUGACGUUCCUACGGCCUGUUGAGUUGGAAUAGUUUCCUGGAGGAUGAGCUUAUUCUAAUGCCAACAUCUGGGUUCCUUAUUGCUGCCUCCUCCGGCAGGGCCUCACGGAGUAGGAUUGGACCUACAACCCAGUCCCGCUUUACACCGUUGGUGACAGGGAGUGGAUGGGACAGGGCACCCCAACUCUGACACUACCAGUCAAAUGUCGGCAAAAACUUCUUGGUAUCCAAGUCUACUAAUCAACAAGUCCUCUCAGAAGCUUCUGAAAGGUCUCUGAAAAUGGAAGUGGCGUGGCCUAGUUGGAAAGAGCACAAGCUGGAUUCUAGCCCCGGCUCUGCCUCUUGACAGCUGUGUGAUCUUGGGCAAGUCGUUUAUCUUCUGUGCUUCUGUUAUCUCAUCUGUAAAAUGGGGAUUAAAUCCUCCUCCCUCCUACCUGGACUGUGAGCCCCGUGUGGGACAGGGACUGUAUCCAACCUGAUUAUCUUAACUAUCCCAGUGCCUGGCAUAUAGUAAGGUGUAUAUAUAAGUAUCUGUAAAAAAACCCACAUAGGGGUUUUCGGGCUGCUCCCUUCACUUUGCCAGUCUGGGAUGAGCUGCAGAGAUCAGUAUGCUAAUAAUAAUAAUAAUGUUGAUAUUUAAGUGCUUACUAUGUGCAGAGCACUGUUCUAAGUGCUGGGGUAAAUACAGGGUAAUCAGAUCAUCCCGCAUGAGGCUCACCAUCUUAAUCCCCAUUUUACAAAUGAGGUAACUGAGGCACAGAGAAGGUAAGUGACUUGCCCACGGUCACACAGCUGUGAAGCGGCAGAGCUGGGAUUAGAGCCCCUGACUUCUGACUCUUUCCACUGAGCCGACUGCUUCUCAUGUUGUGCCCUACCAUGACCUGAAGCCACAUUGCAAGCCUGAGGACUGGUAGAUGGCAAUGGUUUUUCAAUAGCCAGGCUAUUGAUCACAUUAACAGUGGAGAGCAGCAAGACGCCCCAAGGGUUUGACUUUUCCUCUCCGACAGUGGUGUAUAAUUGAGAUCCCGUGGCAUUUCCUCAGGGCCCCAUAUACUAAGGGAAAGCUGGUGC